AUCCACAAAAACACCUAAAAUGGGUGUGAUGUUCAGAAGCCUUAAUAAAUAAUUGUUGACUUAAUGAAUUACUUCAUGGAGUUCUAAUAGAAAUAUCUUGUUAACGAUAUGCAUUUUAUUUUAUUUUAUUCUAUUUUAUUUUUUAGAUGGAGUUUCACUCUGUUGUCCAGGCUGGAGUGCAGUGGCCCGAUCCCGGCUCACUGCAACCUCCGCCUCUCAGAUUCAAGAGAUUUUCCUGCGUCAGCCUCCGGAGUAGCUGGGACUACAGGAGGGCGCAACAGCACGACCUGAAAACUUUCCAGACAGGGACAGAGCAAGGUGGUGGAAUAGAAGGCUCCACUGAUCAUCUCCUCUGCAAGGACACCAAGUUAACAACUAUCUAUACAGAAUAGAUUUUGGUUCAUUAAGAACUAAAAAUCAGACAGGAUUUCACUUUGUUACCCAGCCUGGAGUGCAGUGGUGUGAUCUCAGCUCACUGCAGCCUCAAACUCCUGAGCCCAGGUGAUCCUCCUGCCUCAGCCUCCCAAGUAGCUGGGACUACAGGUAUGCACCACCACACCCAGCUAAUUGUUUUGUAUUUUUUGUGGAUAUGAAGAUAACCAUGUUGCCCAGGCUGGUCUUGAACUCUACCCACUGUGGCCUCCCAAAGUGCUAGGAUUACAGGUCUGAGCAACUGGAACCAGCCUGUUUCUACUUAUAUCUUAUUGUACUGUCUAUGUCUUGUAAAGUGGUUGUAGUCAUUUUGUAACUUUUAUUUUAGUUUUGGGGAUACAUGUGAAGGUUUGUUACAUAAGCAAACUCAUGUCACAGGGGUUUGUUGUACAGAUUAUUUCAUCACCAAGAAAUUAAGCCCAGCACCCA
rnacentral:lncRNA from 10 species